UACGGAGGGUGCGAGCGUUGUCCGGAAUCACUGGGCGUAAAGGGCGCGUAGGUGGCCCGUUAAGUGGCUGGUGAAAUCCCUCGGCUUAACCGAGGAACUGCCCUCCAAACUGCUUCGCUUGAGACCGGGAGAGGUGAGUGGAAUUCCCAGUGUAGCGGUGAAAUGCGUAGAUAUUGGGAGGAACACCAGUGGCGAAGGCGGCUCACUGGACCGGUACUGACGCUGAUGCGCGAAAGCGUGGGGAGCAAACGGG
rnacentral:rRNA from 1 species